GACGAACGCUGGCGGCGUGCUUAACACAUGCAAGUCGAACGGAAAGGCCCUGCUUUUGUGGGGUGCUCGAGUGGCGAACGGGUGAGUAACACGUGAGUAACCUGCCCUUGUCUUUGGGAUAACUUCAGGAAACUGGGGCUAAUACCGGAUAGGAGCUCCUGCUGCAUGGUGGGGGUUGGAAAGUUUCGGCGGUUGGGGAUGGACUCGCGGCUUAUCAGCUUGUUGGUGGGGUAGUGGCUUACCAAGGCUUUGACGGGUAGCCGGCCUGAGAGGGUGACCGGCCACAUUGGGACUGAGAUUCGGCCCAGACUCCUACGGGAGGCAGCAGUGGGGAAUAUUGCACAAUGGGCGGAAGCCUGAUGCAGCAACGCCGCGUGCGGGAUGACGGCCUUCGGGUUGUAAACCGCUUUCGCCUGUGACGAAGCGUGAGUGACGGUAAUGGGUAAAGAAGCACCGGCUAACUACGUG
rnacentral:rRNA from 1 species